ensembl:lncRNA
CAGAUCAUUUGAGAAAUCUGUGCUUCUUGUGCUGAAAAUACCUGUGCAGAAAUUCAUGUUCUGUUGUCUACCUCCUCUUUCACCCAGCCAGUAGAACUCAGUGUAGCUUCGAUAUGGAGUUGGGUCCCUGCAGGUGGUUUUGGCCUUUGGGAACUCUCUAACAAAGUAGAUACAGGAAAGGGCUAUGCUCUGUCAGACUGGAUUCAACUGAGUUCAGCUGGCCCUGAAAUGUCAGAGCAAUGCCACACGGAGAAGUGAAAUUCCUGACUUCUGUAGAACCUACUGAGCUGUUUCAAUGAAGUGAAAUACCCUUAGGGAUGUAACUGUCACCACCAGGAAUUCUAGUUGGACGUUGGAUGCUGUGCAUGCUGAAGCAUGACUGCCUACACAGAACACAUGGGAGGUGCAGUCCAGCAGCACGAGGUGCCAGAAAAGAUGAUGUGUUCCUCCUGCAGCUGCUGCCAGAGAGCACUGCUGGACAACACACGCAUGCUACCCUCCAACUGCUGCUGGCCUGCCUGCAAACCAGCCUUCCACAGCUGUUCUCAGCGCCAUCGCUAUCAAAUCACCUCCGAACAUUGCUGAAUGCUGCUGUCCUACCAGAGUGACUCAUCUGCCCGGGCUCCCAGCACACCCACACAAGUGUGAGUAAAGGUGGGAUUCCUGCGCUGUAACCACCACUGUCAGCGCAGAGACUGCAUCCACGCUUAGAGGCAUCACCAUCAGAUGCUUUGCUGAUCUCCAUUUGCUGUUGCUGUGCUGCUGGAGCAUGUGUACCGCUGGGUGUUCUCUUCCAGAGCUGAGCAUCCUCGUUGGAGGUGCUGGCACUGCCAGCAUGGGGCACACAGCUGCUGACACGGCUGUGCUGCUGGAGCGUGCCCACUUGGCACGUUGUUUGGAGCCGUGUGUCAGCUGUGACCUUGUGUGCUUGGUGCAGACAAUGGAGGGCCUGGAUUCUACCAAGAUACUGCACGGUUUUCGCAUGGCUGCAUAAAAAGCAGUGGCAGCAAAACAUGGCACACUUUUCUUUCUCUGCUGAUGGGAAUUUCAUGUUUAUCCAAAUGAAAGCAUCUUGAUACAUUUGCAUUCUUGUGUGGUUUCUAGACUUUUUCAUAUGGAACUCUUUACUCUUUUGAAAUAAACUGCACGUAGUUAUUUAAAGGAGCUCUUGCCAGCUCAGUGGAAACAAACACUACACAAAGGCUUGACCGUAUCAGCUGGCAAUUGCUUGCUCCUUCAAGCUAAGAGUGAAGUACUAACCACAACUCAUUUAGGCUUCUAUAAAACCAGCACAAAACCUUCUCCAAGAUUUCAGUUGCUUCCAGGCAUGGCGUGGAAUGUUUCCCAGCAUGUUUGUCUGGAUUACCCAAAGAACAAGACAUUCACAACCUCUUCUGGUUUCUCCUUCACUGAGAACAUUCAGAUUCUUUGCAGAGGUGGCACCAGCACUCAUCAGAAGGGUUCCUGUAUUCCUCCAAGGGAAGCCAUAGGCAAGUGCACUUGUCGUGCCUUGUUAAAGCUUUUGCUCCAGUGUACAAAAUCUGUUUAUGAUUUCUGGUUUUGUAUCUCAGACUAAGAGAAAACACCGUGCUCCCCAUGGCUCUUCCCUGAUGAAGAAGUGCACUGUUAGCCUGGCAAACCAGCAGCAGGAGCAGAGGAAACGCUGGAUUAAAAACGCUCCAGUGUGCUGCAAUUACCCAACGUGGCUUUUGCUUCUCAACAGCCCUAAUUUUUCCCGUUGUUCUGCAUUUCAAAGAUGAAUAAAGCAUACAUGUAGCCAACUGUCAGUGUCUCUGCUGAAAUGAUACAGUGGUAUAGCCCUGACACAAAGCCCCAGACUCUCACACAGAAGACACACAUCAUUCAUAAAGUGGUUCUCCCUAAAAAUGGAGCACUCCUGCAAUCUCUUCCACUUCCUAAAUAAGCUAACAGCUUCUGUGUAGAGGUAGUGAAUGACCACAAGAAGAAUGCCAGGAUGUCCUUCCUGUCUGGACACCAGUCUAGAGAAAUAGCUGUGGGGAGAGGUUUACAUCAAAGCAAACUACUCUGCAUUUGUAUUUGAAGCAAACUGAUUACUCCAAAGCAAAUCAUUUUUAUUAUAGAAGAGUAUCCGCACUGGAAACUGUUCUAAUAAAUUUCACUACACUGCCAAGCACUGACUGGAAAGAGUAAUACUUUUAUUUCAAACAACAUCAAGCCGAUGUGAACUCAUUUUAAGGCCAUUUCCAUUGUAAGAGUAGUAUCAGCAGUGCACAUUGCUGUUCAGAGAUUCUUAUCUCAGCACUCCCAGGAGUUGUCUUCCAGGAGGUUACCAAAGUGACAGAUACGUGGAAAGCUUUAAUUUUCUCGCUAGAAGGAGAAAUAUUUCUCCUUCUCUUCCUUAGCAUACCUUUCCCUUAAGGUCAGGCUUGUUCCCCAAGAGUCCCUUACAUACUGUUGGGAAGUGCUUAAGGUCUGUCUUGCACAGUUCCCAUGGCAAACACAGCUGGGCAUGUAUCCGUUUCCAUCAGCGUUAGAGAACAUGAUCUUCUGCCUUGUAGCCUUUUGAUGACAACUCCCAUCAAAUCUAGGAAGCUCAAUUCUAAGAAGUCAUUUUCCUUGAAAAGCGUUCCACAGCCUCCUAAGUUCAGCUUUUUCCAUUUUUAACAAUACUUCCAUAACUCCUUUCCCAACCAGCAGACAUCAUUUCAUUUCGCAACGGAUUAAUACUCUUUCAAUUAAGGAAAGCAACAUUAGAGUUGGGUUUUCAUCACAGAGUGCAGUUCUUGCACAUCCACUUCUCCUGGGAAAGAUGGCACUGACAUCUCAUCGUUAGUGCAGGCACUGCACGGUCUGUGACAAAGCCUCGGACAAGGCAGCCUCUGUCACAAGGAUUUUAAUCCCCACUGCAGUGCAAGGAAGUGAGGAGGCAGACUGGAGGAAGAAGAAGAGACAUACAAAGGCUAAUUAAAAGAAGAGGCCUCAGCAACAUUUAAACUCCAAUUGUUUGAACAGUUGUACAGUAAGUGCUUUAGGAGAAGAGGUUAAUACGUGGUAAAUUAACUGGCAGUCACUUUCUUUUUUUCCAAUGUAUAUUUUACUGCUAAUAAGUUGUUGGGCUUCCAACAGCAGAGUGCACAUGCUCUGCUUUUCUUUCAAACAUACAGAAAUUGGCAGGGCUGUCUCUUCCUGCUUACAUCCCAUUGUACUGCCUUGGAAUUGCUCCUGUUUCCAUCCAGCAUCAUCCAGUGGUUGGAAAGCAGUACAGUGAGCAACGGAGCGACAUGGCGCUCUCUCCUGCAGCUCUGCCUGUGCAUGGCUGUGGGUACAAAGCUUUCUUCCUCUUGACAUGGGACAGCGAGGCAGGAGAUUUUACUGCAGCAAACACUUCAAAAUAGAAUGAAUUGCAGUGACAGAGGAGGAAGCAGGUAACUGGAGCUGUCUGUGCCAAGGAAUCGAAUCUAGGACAAGGUUCUGCAUGGAGCAGCUGGCAUGCAGCUUCUUCCCAUUCCCUUUCCUGCUGACCUCAAAUGUGUGGUACUCCUAAUGUUACAAAAUGAAGAUUGUUAUUAUUAUUAUUUCUGCACAGUCUAUUUUUUUUUUUUCCCACAAUAAGGGGUUUUUAAGCCAGCAGCUUUUUGUCAUUUGGAAAACAUUCUGACUUCUGUUUGUCAAGUCCACAGCUCCUCUGCUGCGCUGCGGGGAAGAGGCGUAACUGAAAGCUGAUUCUGUGGACUGUGAUUGUCUGCAGGUCUGCUUUGCCAGUCAAUUUCUUUCCUUUCCCUUUUUUUUUUUUUAAUCCAUUAAGCAGUAUACUUCAAAAUCCUGGUACUUUUCAGGUGGUUGACUUCGUCUGAAAGCUUUCAAAGAGCUGAAUCGCACACAUUUCCCAUUUAACUGAGUAUCUGUGAGCAUACAAUUGCUAUGUAGCCAGCUUAUUGUAUAGCUUUCAGUUUACUGUCUUCAUUCAUAGCUUCUUAAUUUGGGACUUAAAGGGGAAAGUGGUUAGUUACACUUGUGUGUGUCUCUUAGCUCCCCUGAACUUCAGCAUCCCUCUGAGUCUGCUCACCAGUAACAUCACCACAGCAGCACAGAAGGAUGAAUGACUGUUCCAAUUAGCUGUCUCCCUGGAGGAUCACACAGAGAUCUCAGGUCAGAAUCCUGUAAGUAUGUUUGUUUUGGAAUUACUGUUCCCAAACUAAGCGGUCAGUUUUUGUAUAAGGAUCAAGGAAUGGGUGGUACAGAACAUUAAGAAACAGUGCAUGUGUUCACGUGCCAUUUAUAUGUGCACGUAAAAACUGCACACCAGCCAGUUUGGCCAAGAGCAAAACUCCAGGUCACUGCUGAAGGCUGCUGAGCCACCCAGGCUGAAAUGAUGCCAGCCCCAUUUUCUGACUGCCUGGACACCUGUUCUGGAUGCAGACAGGGUCGAUAUGCAGAAACUUUGCUGGCUGCACUGACUUCCUUCCAGGACGGGACCACCGUCCUCGUGUUUCCAGAUAUGUGACACUCAUAUCCCUCCCAGCAAUCCAGAGGUUGUGUCCCAUUUGAGCUUCGAGGGUUUUGCAGAGCAAAGCUGAAAGGCUGGCACUUGCUUGCUGCUAACAGGCAUGUCACAGCGGACAGCUGCUGCGUCAGACAGAGGCUGAGGGAUGUAAAAUCUCGUUGAAACCAAGCUCCCCUUGCAUUUAUUUAAUCCCCAUAUAGCAAUGGGUAACAAUGCUAAUAAUAUGCCACCAACAAAUAAGCCUGUCCUUUUCAUCAAUCCCAGACAGCAUCGUCUGGCAGCUGUUGCGAUGCAAGUAGGAAAAAAAAAAGAGUUUGAAUAAGGAGCAGCUGACAUCUUGUGCCUUCCCUGUGGGCCCACUACCCCUCCCUCAGGCAGGUUAAUACCCUAGAAACUAUAGAUGCUUAGGCUGCGGUCCCAGCCUCCAACUUGUUGGCAUUCCUGUACUUCGAGAGCUCAGCUAGGAUCUUUCCCAGCAUUUCAAGGUCAUGACAGACGUUGCAGUUUACCAUCUGCAGUUAUGGUACAGCAGUCUGUACUCCCACUCUGUGCAUGUGUGUAUGGUUGGGAACAGCUACUGCAGCUGCUAACAGCAGUGGAGGUGCAAAAUAAGUCUAUAAGCUCCCGCUCUACACUUUGCUGUAGGUCUGAGCACUGAUAUGACAAGGCAACUGCUAAAUCCUAUGGCUCGUGACUCCUCAGUCUUUACUUGGUGUAUGCUACAAGCUCCCAUCCAUACCACCAAUGUGAAUGAGAGCAUGGCGUGCCCACUUGUCCUAAUCAGCCAGAGCAACAGGGAAAAAUCCACAUUGGAAUGAACACAGUAAGUGGUUUAUUUCAACCUACUCAAGGGAACAGGGAGCUUAUCCUUAGGAAACAAAGUAAAUACACUUUUUUUUUUUUUUUUAAUGCUCAGUAGUAGAACUUCUUUUUAGGUGCCUUUACUGAAGGAUUUCUUAGGGUCUGCAAAUGUUUAAAGAGGACUUUUUACUGCUUUAGUUAGCCAAGCUUUGCCAGCUCACAGUAAACCGGAGGAGUUUCUGUGUUGAGAAGCCUUUAGACUCCCCCUGCCUAAUAAAGUGGGUAUUUAUUGACUGGGCUUUGAGAGAAGUACUGCACUGAGGUUUUGGUGGCAGAAGAGAUGUGUGGUUUUCACAUCUCUUACUGCUGUUUUGUCAUGGGUGGUUUUCUGUAAUAAGCUGCCUGCUCUCGCUCUGAGUUCAUCCUCACUUCACUAUUAACUCAGAGAUUGCUCUUCUUUGAAUUCCUAGCUGCAAAUACAUAAACCUUGAGGUAUGUGUUAGUAAUUUACACCUGGCAGCCCUGUCCCAUCACCAGGUCUAAGUGCUAAGCCUGAAUGCUGCUUGCUGUCAGUGCUGGUAGAGGUGUGAUGCAGGCUAAAAGCUCGGAAUGUUUACUCCUUGCAUUUCACAAUGACUUGGAAGGAGCGGGACAGGGACAGGCUGCUGUGCUGGGCACCAGCUGAGGACUUUGGGAGUUCCAGGUGAGCAUACAGCACUGUAAGCAGCAUGGCUUUGUGUCAGCACUUCUUACUCAAAGCCCAACCAAAGCAACUGCUCCCAGCUCCUCUGCAGGGAAAGCAUAUCUGUGGGACAGAAGGAAGCAUGCUUUGUUAGAUCUUUAGUUUAAGAUAUAGGCAUGCAGCAGAGAGCAGCAAGCAGUGAUAAAAUAUGUUUCAAGUGCACUUGCAAAAUUUGUGUAUAUUUUGUGAUGCUGUCUGUAAGAAGAGCUCUCAUCUUUCUAUCUCACUCCUAGCAAAGCCUUACCAUGAAGAAAUCAUGAGAGGUGGCUUAUCUGUCUGCGUUCCUUUUGACUAGGAAAGUGGCUGAAUGUAAAUCAGGUUUAAGUAACUUAACUAGCUUAAGACUGACAUCAGCUCCAUGAAUUCUGAGUUAAUGCCUUCACAAACAUGAACUACUGUGAGGAAAUGUACAAAACAGACCUUUCAAGUGUACCUGACGUGACUCAGGAAUGUAAAAAUCACUGCAAAUCAGUGGAGUUUAUAGUCCUAGAUCAGCUGGAUUCCUCUGAAAUGUCAAGCACAGCUUUUGUAUUUGCUUGUAUUAGAAUCACAGAUUCUUUUGAGUAGGAAGGGACCUUAAAGGGCCAUCUGGUCCAACUCCCCCGUGAUGAAUGGGGACACCCAGCUCUAUCGGGUGCUCAGAGCCACAUCCAGCCUGACCUUGAAUAUCUCCAGGACAGGGCCACCACAUCAUCUCUGGGCAACCUGUGCCAGUGCCUCAGCACUCCUAUUGUAAAAAACUUCCUUCUUAUAUCCAAUCUAAAUCUCCCCUCUUUUAUGAAACUAUUUCCCCUUGUCCUAUCCUAACAGACCCUGCUAAAGAGACUGUUCUCUCCUUACAGCUCCCCUUUAGAUACUGACAGGCCGCUCUCAGGUCACCCUGCAGCCUUCCCUUCUCCAUGCUGCACAGCCCCAGCUCUCUCAGCCUGUCCUGUAGGAGAGGUGUUUCAUCCUGGGAUCAUUUUUGUGGCCCUCCUCUGGACAUGCUCUGAAAGCUCCAUGUCUCUCCUGUACUGAAGGCUCCAUGUCUGGAUGCAGUGCUCCAGGUGAGGCCUCACAGUGCAGAGCAGAGGGGCAGGAUCACCUCCCUGACUCCUCCUGUGAGGCAGGACCUGCCCUUGGGGAAGCUCUGCUGGUUAUCCCACAUCACCUCCCUCUUGUGGUUUAACCUGGCAGGUGGCUGAGCACUGCACAGUCAGUUGCCCAGUCCCCAUCUUCCCAGUGGAAUGAGGAGGAGAAUCGGGAAAAAACACAAAGUACAACUCAUGGAUUGAGAUAAAACUAUUUACUGAGGUAAUGAAAAAGAUAAUGAUUAUGACAUAUGGAAUAUCCCUUUAGCCAGUUUAAGUCAGCUGUCCUCACUCUGUUCCCUCCCAGCUCCUUGGGCCCUUUGCUGAGAACAGCCUUGGCUCUGUCCAACACUGCUUAGCAGCCGCUGUGAACAUCCGUGUGUUACCAACGUUGUUUCUCUCCUAGAACCAAAACAGCAUCAUGGCGGCACUCUGAGGAAAACAGUUCCACCCCAGCUGAAAUGAAGACUCCUCUCCUCCAUGUUCCUUAGCAUAGCUUUCAGGAGGAUCUCCUCCAUGAUCUUCCCUAGCACAGAGGUGAGGCUGACAGGUCGGCAGUUCCCUGGGUUGUCCUUUCUAUCCUUCUUAAAAAUGGGUGCGACAUUGCCUUUUUUCCAGCCAUCAGGAACUUCACCUGCCUGCCAUUACUCUUCAAAUAUCAUCAAGCCAAUUCCCUCGGGACUCUGGGAUGCAUCUCACGGGGACCCAUAGACUUACAGAUGUUCAGGUUCCUCAGGUGUCAGAGAACCUGAUCUUUGCUUACAGUGGGAGGGGCACUGCUCCCCCAGUUCUCACCUUCCGAACUGAACAAGCCUUUCUUGUUCUUCUUUGCUAAAGUCCAGUUCCAGCUGGGUCUUGACCUGUCUGAUCCCAUCCCUACACAGCCCAGAAGCAUCCCUAUACUCCUCCCAGAACACCUGUUCCUGCUUCCACUCGGUGACAUCCUGCUGUCUGACAAAGAUUCGCAGUGGUUAGUCACUGGAUAUCUCAGUGUGACAUUAGUAUAAACAAGCAAUUGGAAACAUUGCUAAAAUCAGUCUUCAGUCUGGUAUCAAGCACAGAAUAAAGGAAACUGUAUUGAAAAUCAAAAUAAAACAUCAGGAGUCCAUGUUGAGGUUUGAUCUCCUCUAGCACCUAAGAUAUGGUUUACUUUUCCAACCACUCCAAAGCCCUAGUCUGCAUCGAUGCGGAUAGGAAUGGACAGUGACCUUCAGUCAGUUAUGCCAGGGUUCCUGCAGGCUUCAGUGCAGCAGACGAGAGGUCAGUGAACUCUUUCAGUGGGCUAAGGGCAGGCUCCUGUUUGCAUUUGCCUACAAGAAUGCAGAGAGAGGAAACCUGAAAUGCGUCUCUCCAGUUCACUGGCUAGAGAUGAAAAUACAAACUGUAAAAUGCUUUUAUUCUCCACAAGCACAGAGGUUUGGGGUGUCACAGUGACUGCAGAUUGUCACUGCUGGCCCCAUGGGAAGCAGAGCUCUGCUCCUGGGGCUGCUCCGACACACCGUGAUGAAUCCCAGGGGAGACCUGGGGAUGCCCGCUAGGGUCUGGCCUGCGGGAGGAAGAUGCAGGGUUUGGAGGGGGGUGAUGGUUGGGCGUGUGGUCUGGGUGAGCACAGGGAUAAGCAGCAGAGGGGACAGCCACAACAUGGGGUUUUCUGAAGUUCUCACCUUUUUGCACAGUGGUUUGCAGCAGAAGGGCCAAGGGAAGAGUAGAUCUCACUCUUACCUCCACUCAGACCUUCCCGGCUCUAAGAAACACACUGCUCCAAACGAACGCUGCUGCAGUGCUCGGUGUUUAACUCCCCAUGCAGCACAGAACUACUGUCAUUGUCUUCAGUGGGGCUUUGCCUGAGAAAAAAACAGGGAUUGAAUUAGUUAUUUGCUUCAGAGCUCAUCUUAGGUGAGUCAUACCUAUAAGCAGCUUGGAAAUGUGGCAAUUCAGAGCAGUAUAUGGAAUGAACUAGACUGUAUCUAGACUGUAUGUGUGUUCUUCCACAAACUAACAGGCGCUGUGCUUACCACCAAUACCAACCGGUAACCAAACCCACUGGAAUAUCUCCAUCCAUGCAACUAAAGAAAAAGCCUUAAAUAGUUUAUAGCUCAGAGUUAAAACAAUUCAUUAACAAUAAGUAACUCGUAUAACUGGGAUCAGUAGGUGAUUUUUUCUGAGCUCUAUCAUUUCUAGGUAUGUACGUUACAGCCACAGGCAAACACAUUGCACUGCUCUGCUUUUUACACUGUGGUGUGCAGCCCAACCACGUAUACAACCCUCACGUUUCUGCCUCUCUCUCUCAAAUCAUAGUAUGAAUCUCAGGCCUUUAAAUUAAGUUUAUGCCAUGCUUCUGGAUGCUGCCGAGCGUCGUGUGCAAGAAUGACAUCAUUGUUUCUGGAGUUACGACCCAACAUGAAAAGAGGAAAAUCAGAAGCAGACUUUUUAAGAGGAAAAUAUCAAAAGAAAUGAGCACCAUGAAUGCAGCAUACGGUGCUUCUGGGUGCCGUAAACGUUUUCUCAUUCCUUGCUCGGGAAGAGCUGCACGACACGCCAGCAGCGCGGCCAUCCCCAGCGCAGCAGGCUGCUCGGCCGCCAGCCCGUUUCCUCCUCCGCCCCCAUGCACUGCCCCAGUGCCGAACCGCCAUCUGCACGCGUUGCCCCGCGCUCAGCGUGAAACAGCCGGGUGGGAACUGCCGGGGGCUCCUCAGCACCCGGGUGCGCUCAGCUGGUGCUGGGCGUCACGGUGACCUCCGCGAGGCCUCGCUGCGCUGCCCGAGCCAGCAGCCCGUCACAGCUGUGAGAGGGGCCUCACCUCGCUCACACCUGGCUCGGGAGAGCCUUGCGCCGCAGCCGAUGCCUCGGCGGCACCGCUGUCGGACGGGAGGAAGCAUCUGGCCGGGCUAGCGCCGCGCGGUGCCUCGGCACGAGGCCACCCAUCUAUCGCCGCUCUCGAACUGAGGCCGACGGCGUGUGCGUGCGUGGCCGUGGGUCGCGCCCCGCCGUGAGCCCGCAGCCGGAGGCGCGGAGGGGCCGCGGGCAGCGCUCGGUGUGUGCGGCCGUGCCCCGCCGCCACGCGCACGCCGACAGCGGGAGCCGCCGUUUCAAAGGGAGCAGCCCGCAGCCCAGCGGCUCCCGCCGCGGAUUCACGUUAGAGCGGCGCGCCCCGGGAACCUCCGUGCGGGAGCCGAAGCCGGA